UCUGUAUCCUUUUUCUUUGUUUUGCAUGUCGAUGAUUCUUAUUGCUUUCUUUGAUUAUGUUUCUAAUCUCUUUAUCAUCUCUUUAGGGUUUUGCUCGAUUUAUUCACAUCUGUUCAAUUCUCGUUGAUCUCUGCUGGUUAGCCCUAGUUGUUGAUCUUUUGCGUCGAUUGAUCGAUCCAUCGAGAGAUUUGCAUGGCACAAACAUGUCCUGACCAGUUCCCGUUGAUCCAAUCAUCAACUCUCAUCGAUACUUAUCAUCGACCCUCAUCGAUACUUAUCAACGACCCUCGUUGAUCCAAUCAUCAACCCUCGUUGAUUCUAACACCAUCAACCCUCGUUGAUCCAAUCAACAACCCUUGUUGAUCUAUAUAAUCAAGGCUCGUUGAUCCAAUCAUCAUUCAUCAACCGUCGUUGGAGUGACGCUGAUCCUUAUCGCUUAUUCGGGAUGGAUUGUUGAGUUUUCAGGCCUGUCCAUCGAGGUAUAACGCAUUCAUAUAGAGGCGCAUGGACAAAAACACAUAUGAUCAACUCUCGUUGGUCUUAUGAUCAUCUCUCGAUGGUCUUAUGAUCAACUCUCGUUGGCCUUUUUAUCAUCUCUCGUUGGUCUCUUUAUCAUCUCUCGAUGAUCUUCCAAUCAACUCUCGUUGGUUAUGAUCAGCUCUCGUUGGUCUUAUGAUCAACUCUCGUUGGUCUUUUUAUCAUCUCUCGAUGAUCUUCCAAUCAACGUCUCUCGUUGGUCUUUCAGUCAACUCUCGUUGUGGUCUUAUGAUCAUCUCUCGUUGGUCUUCCAAUCAUCUCUCGAUGAUCUUCCAAUCAACGUCUCUCGUUGGUCUUUCAGUCAACUCUCGUUGUGGUCUUAUGAUCAUCUCUCGUUGGU